ensembl:rRNA 5S_rRNA 5S ribosomal RNA
GACAUUUGGUAGAGACUGUUGAAGCCACCUGGUCCCAGCAGACCCCAGAAAGCAGCCACAUUCGUUGGUACUGGCACAAAGUCAUUAAAGGUGAAGACUGGUGCCAGAUGUGU